rnacentral:misc_RNA from 1 species
GUUAAAUUACCACCAUUCCUCUGAUUGUAUUGUUUACGUAUUUGAUUUGACAAUAUGUAUAUACAUAUAUUACAUGUAUUCCCACUUGUUGAUUGGGAAAGACUUUUUUUGUAUAUCAUGUGAUUAUGCUUCCAUUGGAGUUGAAACAGGUACUCUAUUAAUCUGAAUUUUGAUCAUCCAUCUCUUAUAAAACUUCUAAUUUAUAGAUUGAUACUUUAUUAAUUAUUAUUAUUAAAUGAAUAAACUAAUGCUAAAUGAUGUGUUUU